rfam:Gossypium arboreum cultivar AKA8401 contig_15086_1, whole genome shotgun sequence.
AAUCCAUGCAUCGGAUCCUUUUGUCUUAAGUCUGUAAAUCACUCCCAAGCUUCAUAUAACGUUUCAUCCUCUAAUUGCCAAAAAGAUGUAAUGUCAUUUCUAAGCUU